rnacentral:rRNA from 1 species
AGAGUUUGAUCCUGGCUCAGGAUGAACGCCGGCGGUGUGCCUAAUACAUGCAAGUCGUACGCACUGGCCCAACUGAUUGACGGUGCUUGCACCGGAUUGACGAUGGAUCACCAGUGAGUGGCGGACGGGUGAGUAACACGUAGGUAACCUGCCCCGGAGCGGGGGAUAACAUUUGGAAACAGAUGCUAAUACCGCAUAACAACAAAAGCUACAUGGCUUUUGUUUGAAAGAUGGCUUUGGCUAUCACUCUGGGAUGGACCUGCGGUGCAUUAGCUAGUUGGUAAGGUAACGGCUUACCAAGGCGAUGAUGCAUAGCCGAGUUGAGAGACUGAUCGGCCACAAUGGAACUGAGACACGGUCCAUACUCCUACGGGAGGCAGCAGUAGGGAAUCUUCCACAAUGGGCGCAAGCCUGAUGGAGCAACACCGCGUGAGUGAAGAAGGGUUUCGGCUCGUAAAGCUCUGUUGUUGGAGAAGAACGUGCGUGAGAGUAACUGUUCACGCAGUGACGGUAUCCAACCAGAAAGUCACGGCUAACUACGCGCCAGCAGCCGCGGUAAUACGUAGGUGGCAAGCGUUAUCCGGAUUUAUUGGGCGUAAAGCGAGCGCAGGCGGUUGCUUAGGUCUGAUGUGAAAGCCUUCGGCUUAACCGAAGAAGUGCAUCGGAAACCGGGCGACUUGAGUGCAGAAGAGGACAGUGGAACUCCAUGUGUAGCGGUGGAAUGCGUAGAUAUAUGGAAGAACACCAGUGGCGAAGGCGGCUGUCUGGUCUGCAACUGACGCUGAGGCUCGAAAGCAUGGGUAGCGAACAGGAUUAGAUACCCUGGUAGUCCAUGCCGUAAACGAUGAGUGCUAGGUGUUGGAGGGUUUCCGCCCUUCAGUGCCGGAGCUAACGCAUUAAGCACUCCGCCUGGGGAGUACGACCGCAAGGUUGAAACUCAAAGGAAUUGACGGGGGCCCGCACAAGCGGUGGAGCAUGUGGUUUAAUUCGAAGCUACGCGAAGAACCUUACCAGGUCUUGACAUCUUGCGCUAACCUUAGAGAUAAGGCGUUCCCUUCGGGGACGCAAUGACAGGUGGUGCAUGGUCGUCGUCAGCUCGUGUCGUGAGAUGUUGGGUUAAGUCCCGCAACGAGCGCAACCCUUGUUACUAGUUGCCAGCAUUAAGUUGGGCACUCUAGUGAGACUGCCGGUGACAAACCGGAGGAAGGUGGGGACGACGUCAGAUCAUCAUGCCCCUUAUGACCUGGGCUACACACGUGCUACAAUGGACGGUACAACGAGUCGCAAGCUCGCGAGAGUAAGCUAAUCUCUUAAAGCCGUUCUCAGUUCGGACUGUAGGCUGCAACUCGCCUACACGAAGUCGGAAUCGCUAGUAAUCGCGGAUCAGCAUGCCGCGGUGAAUACGAUCCCGGGCCUUGUACACACCGCCCGUCA